GGCGGGAUCACCCGCUGAGUUUAAGCAUAUCAAUAAGC
rnacentral:rRNA from 1 species